rnacentral:rRNA from 1 species
GCUCACGGCCAUAUCAGCCUGGGUACGCCCGAUCUCGUCUGAUCUCGGAAGCUAAGCAGGGUCGGGCCUGGCUAGUACUUGGAUGGGAGACGGCCUGGGAAUACCAGGUGCUGUAAGCA